AUACGGAGGAUGCAAGCGUUAUCCGGAUUUAUUGGGUUUAAAGGGUGCGUAGGCGGUUUGUCAAGUCAGCGGUGAAACGCAAGGGCUUAACCCUUGACCUGCCGUUGAAACUGGCGGACUUGAAUGCGGAUGCUGUGGGAGGAAUGUGAGGUGUAGCGGUGAAAUGCAUAGAUAUCACACAGAACACCGAUUGCGAAGGCAUCUCACAAAUCCGUGAUUGACGCUGAGGCACGAAAGUUUGGGGAUCAAACAGGAUUAGAUACCCUGGUAGUCCACACUGUAAACGAUGAUGACUCGCUGUCGGCGAUAUACAGUCGGUGGCCAAGCGAAAGCGAUAAGUCAUCCACCUGGGGAGUACGACCGCAAGGUUGAAACUCAAAUGAAUUGACGGGG
rnacentral:rRNA from 1 species